CAGCAGCCGCGGGAAUACGAAGGGGGCUAGCGUUGUUCGGAUUUACUGGGCGUAAAGCGCACGUAGGCGGACUUUUAAGUCAGGGGUGAAAUCCCGGGGCUCAACCCCGGAACUGCCUUUGAUACUGGAAGUCUUGAGUAUGGUAGAGGUGAGUGGAAUUCCGAGUGUAGAGGUGAAAUUCGUGGAUAUUCGGAGGAACACCAGUGGCGAAGGCGGCUCACUGGACCAUUACUGACGCUGAGGUGCGAAAGCGUGGGGAGCAAACAGGAUUAGAUACCCGCGUAGUCCCUGUCUCUUAUAC
rnacentral:rRNA from 1 species